AAGGGCGGGAAGCCCCCGGAGCUGCUUGACCAUGCAGGCUGAUAGAAUGGAAGCUCAUAGAAUGGCUGAUAGAAUGGAAGCCAUCCAAAUGGAUUAUGCUAGGAGGUGACAGGAUCAGAGUUGUAUUUGUAGAAAGUCACUACCCUCCGUUGUGUGAAAGGAUGUGGGCAAACCAGUGCCAGAUUGAGGUCAGUAGGGCCUCCCAACUUCCACCUGCAGUUGUUGCUGGAGAUGAGGGAAGAUCUCAGACUCAGGGGACAAUGGCCAGAUAAAAACCAACAGGACGCGCUGGGAGAGAGAGAGAAAUCAUCAAAAACAUCUUCGUGUGGCCAGUGCCUUUUCUUUGCUGAGAGGAUGAAUUCCAAUGCUUCAUAAAUUUGGAGGAAAAACUACCUCUUGGUAGUUUCUUCAUGGUGACUGGUCCUCAGCAGCACUUUGUCCCUUGGAGUCAGCAGAUGAAGACACACAGCAAUGAGAGAGCACAGGGUUUGUGGAGGAAAAACUGGAGAAGAGGUGGCUGUGGAGGAAGUGACCUCAAGGACAAGCUUCUGAGGGGAUGAAUGAUGUGCAGGAAAAGCCGGGAGAAGCAUUCACUUUCCUUCUGGAUGGGGAGACACAGGGGCUUAUGUCCCUCGGACUCCACAAUGCCACCACUCAUGAAUCUGAGAUUCUCCAUGACCCAGUCAAGCUGCCCGGGCUCUGCUUCACUACCAAUACUAACUUCCUGCUGAAAGCUGUGUCUAAGGGUAAGCGACCCCAA